AUGGUGAACCUAGCAGCCAUGGUGUGGCGCCGGCUUCUGCGGAAGAGGUGGGUUCUCGUCCUGGUCUUUGGGCUGUCGCUUGUCUACUUCCUCAGCACCACCUCCAGGCAGGAGGAGAGGGCAGUGAGAGAGAGGAAUCCCCUGCAGGUUCAAGACCAUGAUCAGCCCAUCCCGUGGAAAGUGUAGUUUAACUUGGGCAAUAGCAGUCGUCCCAGCAAUCAGUGCCACAACUCCAUUCAAGGGAAACACCUCAUCACGGAUGAACUCAGCUACGUUUGUGAGAGGAAGGAUUUGCUGGUGAAUGGCUGCUGUAACGUCAACGUCCCUAGCACAAAGCAGUACUGCUGCGAUGGCUGCUGGCCAAAUGGCUGCUGAGUACUGUGUCUCCUGCUGCCUGCAGCCCAGCAAGCAACUUCUCCUGGAGCACUUCCUCAAUCAAGCAGCUGUGGCAUUCCAGAACCUCUCCAUGGCAGUCAAAGAUCACUUGGAAUUGUGCCUGGUCAAAUGCAGGACCUCAUCCCAGAGACUGCAGCAUGAGAACACCUACUGGGACCCCAUAGCAAAGUACUCCUACUGAGAAAGCCUGCCAGAGCUCUUCCCUGC
rnacentral:lncRNA from 1 species